AAUAAGGAAAGUUAACCAGGUACAGUGUCACAUUAUAAUGACCUUUUCAUGUCAAUACGGCAAAGAUUUAUUUUUUUCAGCCAGUGUAAACAUGAUCUCGAUAUAAAAAUUUAAAUCUGGAAAAGCCUCUAAAUCCAUUCUCACCUAAAUCUUGAAACCAACUGAAGCCAAAUACUAACACUGCACCUGCAGGAAAGAAAAGGUAAAAUUUACUUCAAGUUUGGAGGAGAAGAAUUAUGUUCAACCUACAAAUGAAUAAAUAACUAUUCUGAGUAUUCUCAAAGUAACUUGCAGUAAACUGCAUACAAGUAAUAAAAAGGUGAGGUAUAGGGAACAUUUCCAUGAAUUUAAGAGGAACUGCAUAUAAAUAGUUGUUGUUAGAUAGCUACUCAAAUACGAGCCUCACUAACAUGCUUCAAAUUUAAUAACUUAAGCCUCAAUGAGUGUCCAUAUGGACCAUAUGUUCUUGAUUAAGUUGGCCUUUUCAAAUACCACAAGAUAGUGAUAAUUUUCCAAAAAUGAAAUUCUUUAUGUAAUCACUCAGCCUCAUUUCAUAGGAAAAGCCCCCAGUUAACAAAUAGUCUCUUCAUUCCAAAAUUAUAGAUACAUUUCUAAAACGAUGAGCUUAAGGAUAACCUUAUGUUCCAAAAAUACCCCUAAUAUUAGGUAAGAGUUUAGAAUGGUGGUGUGAUGCUAGAUAUGCUAGUGAAAAUGUAAUGGCAAAUUAGGAAUAUCAUGUAACUUUAUAGUCCUAAAAUAGAAAUGUAACUUUAUGCUUGCUUACUAGUUAAGCUGCCAUUUGUGAAAGUGUGUUUAUAGAAAUUGGAGUUGUGAUGUGCUUGUGUGAGGGAGAGAAAUGGGGAAGAUAUGUAGUCCAUUCCUUAUCAAUAAAACUACCUUUUUAAAAAGAUAAAGUAGGGCAGGUAGGGCAGACUCCAGACUCCAGUAGAAAGGCAUUAAUCUCCCUAGUUCUCUGUCGGUAAAGCAUUAGCUUAGUACAAACUGAGAAUAAUAGCUUUUAGGUCUCAAGUGAAAAUUUCUAGAUAGUCAAUGUGAGAAAGUCAUCUUCUUAAGAAAAACAAAGGGAAGAGGGCAAAACAAAAAACAUAUAUUGUGAGUUAACAGGUCAAACUUUGUCUUAAAAGAGGAUGCACAUCCUAUAAACCCAAGGAAUUCAAUUUCACCUCCAGAACCUUUGGGAACAGUAUAUCAGUUUUAAUGUAGUUCUCAAGCAAGAAAUCAGCUGAACUAACUUUAGCUUGUUUAACACCAUGGUAGAAAAGAUGUAACAGGAGUGAUACGUCCCCAAGCUAGUGGAAUUAUUAUAAUCAGAUUGAUGGGUGGUUAGGUGUAAAAUGAAUGAACCUAGUAAAUAUACCACCAAACUGAAGGCUUUCACAUUUAAAGACCACCGAUGUAGCUAAACAAAACAUACGUAUUUGCUCAUACAAAAUCCACUUUAGUGAACAAUGAUGAGAAGUCACAUUAAUAUAUGAGGUCUUAGGUCCACAAUUGCACGGUUCACUCAUUGACAAACAAUAAUCUCAACUAUAUGAUUCUUUAGUUUGUUAAAAGUCAUUUUCUGGUGCAAUCAACAUCUAGAAAUCUAGAUGAUUAAAUACAUAAUUCAAACACAAGUUCAUUGUUGUCAUAAUAAGAAACUUUCUAAAACUAACCAUAUCACAGAUGGACCUGAAGUCUUCAUCCUACCCCAUCACUUUUUAUAACUUAAGCUACCCCGAGUCACAGUUGUCAACUGUAUCUUAAAUGUGAGUUCCAUCGCCAUCAUUACAAGUAAAUCACCAUUACUAACUAGAAUUUUUCUCUACAAUUAACCAAUAAUAACAAAAUGUUGAUAGUGAAACCCUUCUUGGUAAUCAAAGAUUUACUCCAAAACCAUAUUCCUCUAUACUGGAACCUUUACCUAAAGAUCACAUGGAUAGUAAAUCUAAAUCCCCAUGCAGAAAAGGGCAUUGGAAAGAGAUCCAAUGAGAAUCAUGAGAUAGAUAGCCCGGGUGAUCAUUCUCAGAAGAAAUGAAGAGGAAAUCGGUCUCCGCUUGUUUUGUCUUUAAUUUUUCAAAUGGAACAAUUCGUUCCUCAUUUCAGUUAUCUUUACAAUGAAACUUUUAUUUGACAUUUAUAUAACAUUACCAAAACAAGCAGUAAGAAGUAUUUCAAGUUACCAAUCUCUCACAUGCAUGUCAGUAUGUCACAGUGAAAACAAAUGAAAAUUUUUGAACCCAUGGAAAGUUAAUGAAGCAUCUGUGUAUCAUAUUCACUCAUAAACUUUGAAGUUCCUGAGGCUCUUAUGGUCACAGUUGUAUAAUAUAUGAGCUUUUGUGAGGCUUGGCAAUGUCAGCCUCCAUGUUUGCAGUUACAUGUACCUUAUUCUAUGAUUUUAUCAUGAAACGUAUAUUCAUAGAAAUUAGUUACGUCCUGAUUGGAUAAUCCUUCUGAUUUUGUUUCCAAGCUCUUAUUUUACUAAAUUACUAUGGAGCUAUAUGACACCACAAUUUGUUUGGUUAAUCAAUUUUAAAAGUACGUUAUAAGUAGCAUAAGUAUAGUUACCUAUCAUAGAUAAAAUUAAAGCUUUUCCUGCAAGUUAAGUGCAUGAAACUUUUGCAGAAUGUAUUUGAGAUUGCCUACUGGCUGUUUUAGACCCAUUAUACACCCCUGCCCCACCCUUCCUUUUUCCUGAUAAGUUAUUCCCUUAAACCCUCCUUCCUACCUCCCUGGACAUCACAGGUACGUUCAGUUGAGGCAGGUACAACACAAAUAACAACUACAGAACAGAUCACUCAAAACACCUCAAAUUGAGAGAAAAAAGAUAAAUAACAGAUACAAUAUUAUCAUAUAGCUCUUGAUCUAAAAUGAACAAGGACCUUGCCUUGCACAAAAAAACGUUGGUAGUGAUUCCAAAACUUAACUAAAACACUCCAUGAGGUAUGCCAAUUUUACAGCAGGCCUGCAGAGGAGGGAUUAAAGGAGCAAAAGAGAAAAAAAUGCAUUUAUAGAAGUGCGGCUCAAGUGAAAAUUGAAAAGGCUAAUGUUCUGUAUGGAGUAUUAUUGCACCUCUAUUCUUUAUUUUUAAUUUUAAAUCUACUGGCUACUGGGAGAGUUCAAAAAUUUAAGUUUUUUUUUUGAAGUUCUACACCACAUAAAUAUUAGGAGAAUCUUUGCCUUUGUCUUCGCUAAAAGAACGUCUUCUCAGCUGAAAGCUUGAAACAAUGUUAACUAAGCCUUCUAGUUAAUUUCCAUUCUUUAUUUUUAAUUUUAAAUCUACUGGAUACUGGGAGAGAAAAAAAAUUAAGUUUUUUUUAAGUUCUACACCACAUAAAUAUUAGGAGAAUCUUUGCCCUCGUCUUUGCUAAAAGAACGUCUUCUCAGCUGAAAGUCUGAAAGAAUGUUAACUAAGCCUUCUAAUUAGUUUCCAUGUUUUUUCUUUUUUUGAUAAAUACCCAAGCCUUUUAAGAUCAUCCAAACCUCAAAAAAGGGAAGGAAAAAAUAAGAUGUUCUGUAUGAAGUAUUAUUGCACCUCUAUUCUUUAUUUUUAAUUUAAAAUCUACUGGCUACUGGGAGAGCUAAAAAAAUCAAGGGUUUUUUUUUGAAGUUCUACAACACAUAAAUAUUAGGAGAAUCUUUGCUCUUAUUUUUGUUAAAAGAACGUCUUCUUAGCUGAAAGCCUGAAACAAUGUUAACUACGCCUUCUAAAUUAGUUUCUUUUCUUCUUCUGUUUUUUGUGAUAAAUACCUAAUCCUUUUAAGAUCAUCCAAACCUCAAAAAAGAAAAGGAAAAAAUAAAAAUCCACAUUUCUUUCAACAACAAAAAUAAAAAAAUCAAAGUCAACACAGAGCACAAACGGGUACUUGUUAAAAAAAAGAGAGAGAAAGAAAGAGACAUAAUCCAAGUGCUUGGUGGAGUGACAAAUACUUGAAUAAUUCCAAAUUGACCCUACUAAAUUCAAAGGAGAUGUUUAUUCACAUUCCUAUGGGAAAUCUAUGUCAUAUUACCACGUAAAGCUUCCGGAUCUCUUAUAAAAAGGGGCAUAGUUGAUCCUUUUACCAUGCCUAUUUGAUUGCCCCUUCAACGAACAAGCUAAAUUAUUGCCAUUUAAGUAUCUCUAUAGAUAGUCUUCCCUAACCACUUUUGAGUCAAAUAAGAAACUUCGACUAACAUGAAGAAGUUCCUUGAAUCUAACGCCCGUAAAAAAAACUCACAUAAAGAAGGAAAACCACCCAGCUUAGCUAGUAAGAAUAAUAUUUGCGAAGAACUACUGGAAAAUAGCAGUCAAAAAAUAAGAAAUGGCCUCAUAGCACUCCUAUACAUAGUCUAAGUGUCAAUGGAAAGGAUACACAACUUUCCUUUCGUUAUAUCCAGUAACCUGUAACCUGAGUUCAGUAUUAUUGCUAACCUGAAUUCACCGUUAUUACUUCGGGAAGCACCUUCACCAUAAUGCCUUGGCAACAUGCGAGGGUUUCAAAUUGUGCUUAACCGUAGCCAGGAGAGUUUCCAUAUUGUUUCAAUUUUGUAGGAUGAUGCAAUUACUAUGUCACCAGAAGACAUAAACUGGAUGGUUGCAUAGUUCGGAAGUACAGUUCGACCUAAACAUAUCCAAUACAUCUUUUGAUCAAAAUUGUAGUCCCCACACAUGUGCUUUUUGAUUACCUUUGCAAAUUCGAAAGAUCCAUGAAUACUUCCAAGCAUGUUCAGCAACUACAGUAUACUCUAUAUAUCAUCUGGCACUUGCAUUGUGAAAUAUAAAUCUCAAAAGCAUUGAUUUAGGAUCAAUGAUUACCUCAAUAAUAUAUGUUCAUCUCCAUGUGAUUUCUUAUUUGGUGCGAGUAAGAUUUGUAACCAACUCAACACCCUCAUACAUCAUUAGGUAAGUGCAACUAGAACUCUAUACAUAGCACUACAUAUACAACAAUUCAAUUUGCAUUACAUACAAAAAAGUUAAAUAUUUAAAGUUUGAGGUCAUUGCGAAAUUGUGUGCAAUUAUUGAAUUGACUAUGCAUACCAAAAUUUGAAAGCUUUCUCCACAUUUUCAAAUGGGUAGGUUUAAUUCUCCCCCAAGUCCCCUUCCCACUCAGUUCCUCCCCAGCAAUGUGUUACUACCAAUAUAACAAAAUCCAACUUGCAUUACAUAUAUAAAUAAAAAUUAAAAAAGUUAAUCGUUUAAAUUUUGAGUCCCUGGUAAAAAAAAUAGUUGUACCAGAAACAACAUCUCAAAAAUGUUAAGUGAAAAAUGAAAGCUUUGCCCAAUUUUUAAAUUGGGCUAGACUCAAUCAUCUCCUACCCAGUCAAUUCCCAAUAACUAUUCGUAUAAAUUAAUUUGAAAGCACACAUAGCGGACAUGGGUUAUGCAGAAACAUGAAGAUUAACUUUAAGGGUAAUUAAAUAGAACAAAUCAUUACCUUGUUGAAUCAACCGGUAAAAAACUUGAAAAGAAUUAAGCAGAGGAAACCGAAGAAAAUGAGGAGGAAAAGGUAAUCCACAAAUACGAAGAACUUGGUAGAACCGUGAUUUCUCUUUGUAUUAUUCUUCUUCGUUGUCGCCUGCUUCGCUGGUUCUUCCUCAUAUGCUUCUAUUUUCGCCAUUAUUGAAUCCAAUUCCAAAUCACAGAUCUGUCUCUCUGCUAAAAUGGUGGUUUGGACGCAAAAGGAAAAGGAAAAUGCCGCGCUUUGUCUCUUCCACGUGCAC
rnacentral:lncRNA from 1 species